rnacentral:rRNA from 1 species
UACGAAGGGGGCAAGCGUUGUUCGGAAUUACUGGGCGUAAAGGGCGCGUAGGCGGCUUAUCACGUCAGGCGUGAAAUUCCCGGGCUCAACCUGGGGGCUGCGCUUGAUACUGCUGAGCUUGAAUGCGGGAGAGGAUGGUGGAAUUCCCAGUGUAGAGGUGAAAUUCGUAGAUAUUGGGAAGAACACCGGUGGCGAAGGCGGCCAUCUGGCCCGUGAUUGACGCUGAGGCGCGAAAGCGUGGGGAGCAAACAGG